GAUUAACGCUGGCGGCGUGCCUAAUACAUGCAAGUCGAACGAGGGGCUUUUGUAGCAAUACGGAAGCUUCCUAGUGGCGAAUGGGUGAGUAACGCGUUGGUGACCUGCCCCGAAGUGAGGGAUAACAGUUCGAAAGGACUGCUAAUACCACAUGUGGUCAGUGGGUUUAGAAGCUGCUGACUAAAGGAGCAAUUCGCUUCGGGAGGGACCUGCGUCCCAUCAGCUAGUUGGUAGGGUUACGGCCUACCAAGGCUACGACGGGUAGGGGGCCUGAGAGGGUGGCCCCCCACAUUGGCACUGACACACGGGCCAAACACCUACGGGUGGCUG
rnacentral:rRNA from 1 species